CCUGAGAAGAGCACCCAGCUAGGCUAUGCCUGGACUUCGGAGCUGCAGAAACUGAGGUGUUCGCAUUUCACCAACCAUGCGGGGGCCAGCCAGUUGAGGGGUCAAAUGAAGAGACAUUUUUCAAGGACCCCUUCACCCAAUUUCCCCAGCUUCCUCCUGAGUUAAGGCUUCUAUUGUAGGAAUGUUCUCUCUGUGAAUGUCUCCGUUUGGUGGAUGAGUCACUGGCAAAGAAGAACCUAACACCUUGAUUCUAAGAUUCACAUGGAAAUGCGAAGGCCCUAAAAUAGUCAAAUGAUUUUGGAAAAUGUAAAAGAAAUUUACUCCACAUGACUCCAAGACUUACCAUACAACUAGUGUGAUAUUAGCAUAGGCGGAGACACAUAGGUCAACGGAAAAGAGUAGAGUCCAGAAACAGACCCACUCAUAUAUGCUCAAUUGAUUUUGACAAAGGUGCUGAGGAAUUUCAACAGGAAAAGGAUAAUCUUUUCAACAAAUGGUGCUACAGCAAUGGGCCCUUACCUUACACCACACAUAGAAAUUAACUUGAAGGGUCUCGUAAAUGUAGAUGUAAGAGCUAAAACUAUUAAAAUUAUAGGGGGAAAAAGCUUAGGGGAAGAUCUUUGUGACUUUGGAGUAAGCCAGGAGUUUUUUGAUGGGACACA
rnacentral:lncRNA from 1 species